rnacentral:rRNA from 1 species
AGGGAAUCUUCCACAAUGGACGCAAGUCUGAUGGAGCAACGCCGCGUGAGUGAAGAAGGUUUUCGGACCGUAAAGCUCUGUUGUUGGUGAAGAAGGAUAGAGGUAGUAACUGGCCUUUAUUUGACGGUAAUCAACCAGAAAGUCACGGCUAACUACGUGCCAGCAGCCGCGGUAAUACGUAGGUGGCAAGCGUUGUCCGGAUUUAUUGGGCGUAAAGCGAGCGCAGGCGGAAAGAAUAAGUCUGAUGUGAAAGCCCUCGGCUUAACCGAGGAAUUGCAUCGGAAACUGUUUUCUUGAGUGCAGAAGAGGAGAGUAGAACUCCAUGUGUAGCGGUGGAAUGCGUAGAUAUAUGGAAGAAUACCAGUGGCGAAGGCGGCUCUCUGGUCUGCAACUGACGCUGAGGCUCGAAAAGCAUGGGUAGCGAACAGGAUUAGAUACCCUGGUAGUCCAUGCCGUAAAACGAUGAGUGCUAAGUGUUGGGAGGCUUCCGCCUCUCAGUGCUGCAGCUAACGCAUUAAGCACUCCGCCUGGGGGAGUACGACCGC